AUUGAACGCUGGCGGCAUGCCUUACACAUGCAAGUCGAACGGCAGCACGGGUGCUUGCACCUGGUGGCGAGUGGCGAACGGGUGAGCAAUACAUCGGAACGUACCUUAUCGUGGGGGAUAACGCAGCGAAAGCUGUGCUAAUACCGCAUACGCCCUGAGGGGGAAAGCGGGGGAUCGCAAGACCUCGCGCGAUUAGAGCGGCCGAUGCCUGAUUAGCUUGUUGGUGGGGUAAAAGCCCACCAAGGCGACGAUCAGUAGCUGGUCUGAGAGGACGAUCAGCCACACUGGGACUGAGAAACGGCCCAGACUCCGACGGGAGGCAGCAGGGGGGAAUUUUGGACAAUGGGGGCAACCCUGAGCCAGCAAUGCCGCGUGAGUGAAGAAGGCCUUCGGGUUGUAAAGCUCUUUUGUCAGGGAAGAAACACCGGCUCUAACACAGUCCGGGAAUGACGGUACCUGAAGAAUAAGCACCGGCUAACUACGUGCCAGCAGCCGCGGUAA
rnacentral:rRNA from 1 species